rnacentral:rRNA from 1 species
CCCUUAGACGUUCUGGGCCGCACGCGCGCUACACUGACACAGGCAACGAGCUUUCCUUUACCGAAAGGUAUGGGUAAUCUUUUGAAACUGUGUCGUGCUGGGGAUAGAUCCUUGCAAUUUUUGAUCUUAAACGAGGAAUUCCUAGUAAGCGUGAGUCAUCAACUCGCGUUGAUUACGUCCCUGCCCUUUGUACACACCGCCCGUCGCUACUACCGAUUGAAUGGCUUAGUGAGGCCUCAGGAUCCGCGCUUAAUGUGUGGAGAAUUUGGACAAACUACGUCAUUUAGAGGAAGUAAAAGUCGUAACA